CUAAGCACUCCUACGGGAGGCAGCAGUGGGGAAUAUUGCACAAUGGGCGCAAGCCUGAUGCAGCCAUGCCGCGUGUAUGAAGAAGGCCUUCGGGUUGUAAAGUACUUUCAGCAGUGAGGAAGGUGGAUAUGUUAAUAGCAUAUUCAUUUGACGUUAGCUGCAGAAGAAGCACCGGCUAACUCCGUGCCAGCAGCCGCGGUAAUACGGAGGGUGCGAGCGUUAAUCGGAAUUACUGGGCGUAAAGCGCAUGCAGGUGGUUUGUUAAGUCAGAUGUGAAAGCCCGGGGCUCAACCUCGGAAUUGCAUUUGAAACUGGCAAACUAGAGUACUGUAGAGGGGGUAGAAUUUCAGGUGUAGCGGUGAAAUGCGUAGAGAUCUGAAGGAAUACCGGUGGCGAAGGCGGCCCCCUGGACAGAUACUGACACUCAGAUGCGAAAGCGUGGGGAGCAAACAGGAUUAGAUACCCUGGUAG
rnacentral:rRNA from 1 species